UACGUAGGGCGCAAGCGUUGUCCGGAAUUAUUGGGCGUAAAGAGCUCGUAGGCGGCUUGUCACGUCGGAUGUGAAAGCCCGAGGCUUAACCUCGGGUCUGCAUUCGAUACGGGCUAGCUAGAGUGUGGUAGGGGAGAUCGAAUUCCUGGUGUAGCGGUGAAAUGCGCAGAUAUCAGGAGGAACACCGGUGGCGAAGGCGGAUCUCUGGGCCAUUACUGACGCUGAGGAGCGAAAGCGUGGGGAGCGAACAGG
rnacentral:rRNA from 1 species